UUACGCUUUUGCGACUCAAGCAGGGGACGGGGAUAUGUCCUGUCAUUUUAACGUUGGAAAAGUUCGCAACCCUGUCUUCGAAUCGAUUGUCAUUUUUUCUCCAUACUCUAAUCUCUGCUGAUUAAAAAAAAGAAUCUUUUAGAACAUAAAAAGCGACGAAAAACUUCUCAAAGGAUCGUUGGAUUUCUUUACUAAGAAUGCGACGAAUACGAAAUGAUCGGCUCCAAAUAAGUGACGUCGCGACUUAUUGAAUUGGUACUGUCUAUACGUCACAAAGUAAGUAACGGGAAGAGAAGAGAAACGAGAAGUAGGCUUGACAAUUUUGUGAGGGGAAGGAGGAAAAGAAGGAGGAGACUUAGGAAAAGCAAUAGGUUUCGACGGGGCAACUUUGCGAACUAUGUAGCCACAUGAAUUAUGUAACUGAUAACUCCACUGAUGCGCAUCAGUCGGUGAGUGACAGAGAUUUUAUCAGGUAACGAAUCUGUGAAAAAUGUAACAGAUUUAUUAUAUUAGAAAUAAAUAUAAUGUUUUAAAAA